UCGUCCCAGGUUCGAGUCUGAAACUCUCUUACAAUAGAGAUCAGAGAGCAAUGUCUCAGAUACAACUGCAUAAUCAACAUUUGAGUGCAGAGUCUGUUGAGUUUUCUCUAGGGAGGAAAGGCCUCGAUGAUGAGUUGAGUUCACAUCGAACCUGUUUAGCACUUCCAAAGGAAUUUCCUUCACAGGUUUUUCGACUCUGCCAGUUCAUUUGCACGUGAAAAAUGGCUUCUGAGAAGGCAAAUGCAAGGGUUCCAGACAGCUGCACCAGCAGCAACCAAGCAGCUCUUGCAGAAAGAACAACGAACACGAAUAGCACAACCAAUUCCAACUUUGGGAAAGCACUAGCACAGAGAGCACUUUUCAGAUCACGUCGUCGUCAAUGGGUUGGGGGCAGAAAGACUACAAACAAUGAGGCCAAGUCAUUACCAAGCAGGCUAAGCAAGGUUUCCUUGGCUGAAGAUUCAGAAAAUCAGUGAAUGGGUUUUGCACCAUUUGCAGUGCGGUCCGUGUAGAUUCCUCUUUGCAGUUAAACACUAUAUAUUGUAAAGGCAUUAAAUCCUGUAACAGACAAUAAGGUAAAAUGAUUUUCUAUCU